rfam:Ictidomys tridecemlineatus contig031361, whole genome shotgun sequence.
UGGGGUGGAGCUCAAGGGUAGAGUCCUUGCCUAACAUGUGGAGGUUCUGGGUUCAAUUCCCAGCACCACAC